CAGCCGCCGCGGGAAUACAGAGGGUGCAAGCGUUAAUCGGAAUUACUGGGCGUAAAGUGCGCGUAGGUGGUUUGUUAAGUUGGAUGUGAAAUCCCCGGGCUCAACCUGGGAACUGCAUCCAAAACUGGCAAGCUAGAGUAUGGUAGAGGGUGGUGGAAUUUCCUGUGUAGCGGUGAAAUGCGUAGAUAUAGGAAGGAACACCAGUGGCGAAGGCGACCACCUGGACUGAUACUGACACUGAGGUGCGAAAGCGUGGGGAGCAAACAGGAUUAGAUACCCCCGUAGUCCCUGUCUCUUAUAC
rnacentral:rRNA from 1 species